UACGUAGGGUGCGAGCGUUGUCCGGAUUUAUUGGGCGUAAAGAGCUCGUAGGCGGUUUGUCGCGUCGGCCGUGAAAUCUCCACGCUUAACGUGGAGCGUGCGGUCGAUACGGGCAGACUAGAGGUCGGUAGGGGAGUGUGGAAUUCCUGGUGGAGCGGUGAAAUGCGCAGAUAUCAGGAGGAACACCAGUAGCGAAGGCGGCACUCUGGGCCGAUACUGACACUGAGGAGCGAAAGCGUGGGGAGCGAACAGG
rnacentral:rRNA from 1 species